UACGGAGGGUGCUAGCGUUGUUCGGAAUCACUGGGCGUAAAGCGCGUGUAGGCGGCCUGUUAAGUCUGAUGUGAAAGCCCGGGGCUCACCCCCGGAAGUGCAUUGGAAACUGCCAGGCUCGAGUCCCGGAGAGGAGGGUGGAAUUCCUGGUGUAGCGGUGAAAUGCGCAGAUAUCAGGAGGAACACCGGUGGCGAAGGCGGCAUCCUGGACCAACACUGACGCUGAGGAGCGAAAGCCAGGGGAGCAAACGGG
rnacentral:rRNA from 1 species